GACGAACGCUGGCGGCGUGCUUAACACAUGCAAGUCGAACGGAAAGGCCCCUUUGGGGGUACUCGAGUGGCGAACGGGUGAGUAACACGUGAGUAACCUGCCCUUGACUUCGGGAUAACUUCAGGAAACUGGGGCUAAUACCGGAUAGGAGUCCUUGCUGCAUGGUGGGGGUUGGAAAGCUUCGGCGGUUUUGGAUGGACUCGCGGCUUAUCAGCUUGUUGGUGGGGUAGUGGCUUACCAAGGCUUUGACGGGUAGCCGGCCUGAGAGGGCGACCGGCCACAUUGGGACUGAGAUACGGCCCAGACUCCUACGGGAGGCAGCAGUGGGGAAGAUUGCACAAUGGGCGGAAGCCUGAUGCAGCAACGCCGCGGGCGGGAUGACGGCCUUCGGGUUGUAAACCGCUUUCAGCAGGGGCGAAGCUUGUGGUGACGGUACCUGCAGAAGAAGCACCGGCUAACUACGUG
rnacentral:rRNA from 1 species